rnacentral:lncRNA from 1 species
CUCUAUUUAUCUUGUAGUCUCAGCACUGUUCAGUUGUCUCUGUGUUUUUACAUCUAAUGCCUUCAUUUUGUUCUAUUCUAAAGACUUACUUCUCCUUCUAAUUCACGGCAUAACUACACGCACAAGAUGGCUAAAUUCAGCCGGUGGACAUCCUUUCACAACCUUUUAUUAGUGCUUCCAAUCUCUCUCGAUCAAUAAGCUCAUCAAUACAUAAUGUGGUCUACUAUUCCCACAAUCAAAACUUCCUUUCAUUGUCAUAUCACCAUCAAACUUUUCCUAACAUGACAUGAUAUGAGCUCACUAAGCUUAGGCGACCUAUCAAUAAUUCUACUUCGUCAUCAUGUUUUCAAACUCCUUGUUUUCUUCGACUACUCCAUAAAAUAAAGGAACUAACCAAUCUUUCUACAGAAAAACGUUGUCUUGAGGGUGGUAGUUGAAUGCAGCUAUACUACCAUAUACUUAUGCUACCAUACCUGCUACAAAUACAAGUUCAACACAAACUAAGCACAUAAUUUAAAUGCAACUAGCUGUACAUGUAUAUACCAUGGGCAGAGCCUAUGCGAUAUGACCGCAAGAAAGACUAGGAUGUAUUUAUUCUUUGUUCCAUUCAGGCCCAUACCUAGAAUUUUGUGGCCCUGGAGCAAAAUAUAAAAUAGAGCCUCUAUAUCUCGACAAAUAAAAUAGCUGAAUUAGGUUUCAUUAUCUAAUUUAAAAAUUUUCAAUAAUAAGAAUUAUAAUAAGUACUCACUGGUACAGGACAGGCUUUAGUCCCGGUCGAAAACCACUUGUAUUCCCGGGUGGCGAGCCGGGACUAAGGGAUCGGGACUAAAAGUCCCACCUUUAGUCCCGGCUCCCAGACCCGGGACUAAAUGGGGACCUUUUGUCCCGGUUGGUAACACCAACUGGGACUACAGGGGGCACCAGGCAGUGACGUGGCGCCACCCCUGGCCACCCCUUUUAGUCCCGGUUGGUAAAGGUUUUUUUUGUUUUUCUUUUUUUUAUUUUUCCUUUUCAUUUCUUUAUUGAUUUUGGUUUUCAAUUGUAUAUGUUCUCCAAUUUAAUCAUAUACGCCGCAAUUAUCCGUAUACGUUGCACCUAUACGAGAGCGUCAUUAUUAUUGCAAACAAAUAAAGUAUGAAACUACAUAUAUAUUAUCCGUAUAAUAUAUAUAUAUAUAUAUCUAUAUAUAUUAUAUAGCUAUACACAUACGUACAUACACAUUACAUUUACAAUAAUAAUAUUAUGUACAAGUAAUAAUCAAGUGUGCUGCCACCGGUUAAUGAUUACAUAAUGUUUGCCCGCCCACUCAAAGCUCAUACAAGUGUUCGUCCUUGUUUGGAAUGGGCUUGAAGCCCUGCGGGUAUAAGUGGAACUCGCCGUCUUCCGGAAUGACAUGAUCGUUGAUAAAUCCGGCGAUCGUCUCCUGCACUCCAAGGAGUAAUGUGUACUCGAACACUUUAUCUUUCAUAUUCCACUCCUUCCAUUUGCAUUAGUUAGAAAAGAUAUUAAUAUACAUAAAAUCUAUUUAGUUUCAACAAAUAAAUAAGAUAUGAAUUUACUGUAUACACAUGCAUGUUACUUACUUUUAGAACACUUUGAGCAGGUUUAAAUAGGGUGCACCGCAUAAAUUCACAAACAUAGUAUCCACAUAGAUUCGUUCUAAACGGCUGAGUGGGCACCCAAGGGAGUAGAACAGGAGGAGGAAGUGACACAUUCAGAUCCGUACGAUAUUUAUGUUGUAUCCAAGCCCAAGCCCUGCCCAAUAAGACGCUCGUUGAUUAGGUAUAGCUAGCAUAAUAAAGUAAAGGAGCACGCAUCGAUAUUUAAAGUAUGAUAUAUACUUACCUCUGGAUCAUGUCUAUUAUGUCUUGAUAGAGUGCCAGGUCUUUUUUCAUUGAGUCCCACACAUGUAUUCUUUGUUCCGUGAUCUUAAUCUCAAUGAGAAUCCAAUGAUCUCUGCAUUUGUUUAGAGUCAACUUAUAUAUGUAUAUCUUAAUGCCGGAUUAACUAAGACAUGAUAUAACACAACACUUACCCCAUAUUGUAAGAGAAGAGUAUCUUCUCCGUAUGCCUUUGGUUAUAAAAGAACUUCCGGAUGUUCUUCUCCAUUUCCUUAGGCUUCAGAUUCAAUGGAUCUUUAGUUUUAGUGUCCUUGUACACGACAUAUGGAUCGAUGAAACCAAUUCGAUUGUCUUUUUUCAAUCUUUGUUCUCUCAUCAUGUGUCUGCACAUCGUGAGCGUAGUUAUUACGAAUACAUACAUAUGCUAUAAUGGGAUUAAUGAUUGAAAGGAAGAAUCACUUACAGACAGUAGC